AUGCGGACUAGACUGGCGUGUUAGCCCUACGCCAUUUGCAAACGGGCUUUAUGGCAAGUCGAAUAAGGAGCGAGUGAUACGGAUAGGUUUAGGAUCUUCAAGCAAACGUUGAAGUUCUGUCCUGUUUGAUCCCGCUCUUGCAAAAUGGGUCAGGCCUUGAACGGAGCAGCCCUAAACAAGAGUUGAGAUGCUUACAGGGUCACGGAACCGAGAAUGCUCGAAGGCUAAUUCUAAGCUUGUACGUUGAGCAAACUCUUGAGUCCGCAA
rnacentral:SRP_RNA from 1 species